rnacentral:rRNA from 1 species
GACGAACUGCCCAAACGUUGUUCGGAAUCACUGGGCAUAAAGGGCGCGUAGGCGGCGAUUCAAGUCAGGGGUGAAAUCCGGCAGCUCAACUGUCGAAGUGCCUUUGAUACUGAAUUGCUCGAGGGAGGUAGGGGUCUGUGGAACUUCUGGUGGAGCGGUGAAAUGCGUUGAUAUCAGAAGGAACGCCGGUGGCGAAAGCGACGGACUGGACCUUUUCUGACGCUGAGGCGCGAAAGCUAGGGGAGCAAACGGG